CAAUAGCGUAUAUUAAAGUUGUUGCAGUUAAAAAGCUCGUAGUUGGAUUUGUGGUUCGUCCCGCCGGCUGGGUCAUUGACUUUUGCUGUGCUGGUCGUCCAUCCUUGGGUGGAAUCUGUGUGGCAUUAGGUUGUCGCGCAGGGGAUGCCCAUCGUUUACUGUGAAAAAAUUAGAGUGUUCAAAGCAGGCUUAUGCCGUUGAAUAUAUUAGCAUGGAAUAAUGAUAUAGGACCUUGGUACUAUUUUGUUGGUUUGCGCACUGAGGUAAUGAUUAAUAGGGACAGUUGGGGGUAUUCGUAUUCCAUUGUAAGAGGUGAAAUUCUUGGAUUUUUGGAAGACGAACUACUGCGAAAGCAUUUACCAAGGAUGUUUNCAUUAA
rnacentral:rRNA from 1 species